GCCUUGACCAAGAGAAGUAGUUUGAAGAUGGCUGGAUCAAUAAGGAGGCAACAACCUUAUAAGAUGCCUUUGGUCCGACAGACCAAAAUAUCAAGUUCUUCUUCAUAGGGGAAUACUCUUACUGAAGAAUAUUUCAAGAAAUUACACUGAAAAAGUUUGGCAGGUAUUUCAGGAGGGACGGUCACUGCCCAAACACACAGAUGCUGCAAAACACUUAUGAAGCAACCAGGAAGUAUUGAUAAAUAUCCAUCAUCUUGAUUGUCAAAACCAUUUCUUUUUAUUUAAAAAAAUGGCAAGAAACAUGAAGAAACGAACGCUGUGGUACUGAAUGUUUUACUGCCUUGUUUAGUAAUUUCAUUGUGAAAAAAUGUCAUUUUUCCCCCAUUGGACCAGAGUUUUAUUAGUUGUAAUUGAGUUCUGACUUUUAGACAUGCCAUGAUUCACUCAUCACUAACACUCGUUUGUAA